rnacentral:rRNA from 1 species
GCCUACGACCAUAUCACCCUGAAUGCGCCCAAUCUUGUCUGAUCUCGGAAGCUAAGCAGGGUCGAGCAUGGUGAGUACUUGGAUGGCAGACUGCCUAGGAACACCAGGUGUUGUAGGAU